rnacentral:rRNA from 2 species
GGUUAAGCGACUAAGCGUACACGGUGGAUGCCCUGGCAGUCAGAGGCGAUGAAGGACGUGCUAAUCUGCGAUAAGCGUCGGUGAGGUGAUAUGAACCGUUAUAACCGGCGAUUUCCGAAUGGGGAAACCCAGUGUGUUUCGACACACUAUCAUUAACUGAAUCCAUAGGUUAAUGAGGCGAACCGGGGGAACUGAAACAUCUAAGUACCCCGAGGAAAAGAAAUCAACCGAGAUUCCCCCAGUAGCGGCGAGCGAACGGGGAGGAGCCCAGAGCCUGAAUCAGUGUGUGUGUUAGUGGAAGCGUCUGGAAAGGCGCGCGAUACAGGGUGACAGCCCCGUACACAAAAAUGCACAUAUUGUGAGCUCGAUGAGUAGGGCGGGACACGUGGUAUCCUGUCUGAAUAUGGGGGGACCAUCCUCCAAGGCUAAAUACUCCUGACUGACCGAUAGUGAACCAGUACCGUGAGGGAAAGGCGAAAAGAACCCCGGCGAGGGGAGUGAAAAAGAACCUGAAACCGUGUACGUACAAGCAGUGGGAGCCUCUUAAUGGGGUGACUGCGUACCUUUUGUAUAAUGGGUCAGCGACUUAUAUUCUGUAGCAAGGUUAACCGAAUAGGGGAGCCGAAGGGAAACCGAGUCUUAACUGGGCGUUAAGUUGCAGGGUAUAGACCCGAAACCCGGUGAUCUAGCCAUGGGCAGGUUGAAGGUUGGGUAACACUAACUGGAGGACCGAACCGACUAAUGUUGAAAAAUUAGCGGAUGACUUGUGGCUGGGGGUGAAAGGCCAAUCAAACCGGGAGAUAGCUGGUUCUCCCCGAAAGCUAUUUAGGUAGCGCCUCGUGAAUUCAUCUCCGGGGGUAGAGCACUGUUUCGGCAAGGGGGUCAUCCCGACUUACCAACCCGAUGCAAACUGCGAAUACCGGAGAAUGUUAUCACGGGAGACACACGGCGGGUGCUAACGUCCGUCGUGAAGAGGGAAACAACCCAGACCGCCAGCUAAGGUCCCAAAGUCAUGGUUAAGUGGGAAACGAUGUGGGAAGGCCCAGACAGCCAGGAUGUUGGCUUAGAAGCAGCCAUCAUUUAAAGAAAGCGUAAUAGCUCACUGGUCGAGUCGGCCUGCGCGGAAGAUGUAACGGGGCUAAACCAUGCACCGAAGCUGCGGCAGCGACACUAUGUGUUGUUGGGUAGGGGAGCGUUCUGUAAGCCUGUGAAGGUGGCCUGUGAGGGUUGCUGGAGGUAUCAGAAGUGCGAAUGCUGACAUAAGUAACGAUAAAGCGGGUGAAAAGCCCGCUCGCCGGAAGACCAAGGGUUCCUGUCCAACGUUAAUCGGGGCAGGGUGAGUCGACCCCUAAGGCGAGGCCGAAAGGCGUAGUCGAUGGGAAACAGGUUAAUAUUCCUGUACUUGGUGUUACUGCGAAGGGGGGACGGAGAAGGCUAUGUUGGCCGGGCGACGGUUGUCCCGGUUUAAGCGUGUAGGCUGGUUUUCCAGGCAAAUCCGGAAAAUCAAGGCUGAGGCGUGAUGACGAGGCACUACGGUGCUGAAGCGACAAAUGCCCUGCUUCCAGGAAAAGCCUCUAAGCAUCAGGUAACAUCAAAUCGUACCCCAAACCGACACAGGUGGUCAGGUAGAGAAUACCAAGGCGCUUGAGAGAACUCGGGUGAAGGAACUAGGCAAAAUGGUGCCGUAACUUCGGGAGAAGGCACGCUGAUAUGUAGGUGAAGCGACUUGCUCGUGGAGCUGAAAUCAGUCGAAGAUACCAGCUGGCUGCAACUGUUUAUUAAAAACACAGCACUGUGCAAACACGAAAGUGGACGUAUACGGUGUGACGCCUGCCCGGUGCCGGAAGGUUAAUUGAUGGGGUUAGCGGUAACGCGAAGCUCUUGAUCGAAGCCCCGGUAAACGGCGGCCGUAACUAUAACGGUCCUAAGGUAGCGAAAUUCCUUGUCGGGUAAGUUCCGACCUGCACGAAUGGCGUAAUGAUGGCCAGGCUGUCUCCACCCGAGACUCAGUGAAAUUGAACUCGCUGUGAAGAUGCAGUGUACCCGCGGCAAGACGGAAAGACCCCGUGAACCUUUACUAUAGCUUGACACUGAACAUUGAGCCUUGAUGUGUAGGAUAGGUGGGAGGCUUUGAAGUGUGGACGCCAGUCUGCAUGGAGCCGACCUUGAAAUACCACCCUUUAAUGUUUGAUGUUCUAACGUGGGCCCCUUACCGGGGUUGCGGACAGUGUCUGGUGGGUAGUUUGACUGGGGCGGUCUCCUCCUAAAGAGUAACGGAGGAGCACGAAGGUUGGCUAAUCCUGGUCGGACAUCAGGAGGUUAGUGCAAUGGCAUAAGCCAGCUUGACUGCGAGCGUGACGGCGCGAGCAGGUGCGAAAGCAGGUCAUAGUGAUCCGGUGGUUCUGAAUGGAAGGGCCAUCGCUCAACGGAUAAAAGGUACUCCGGGGAUAACAGGCUGAUACCGCCCAAGAGUUCAUAUCGACGGCGGUGUUUGGCACCUCGAUGUCGGCUCAUCACAUCCUGGGGCUGAAGUAGGUCCCAAGGGUAUGGCUGUUCGCCAUUUAAAGUGGUACGCGAGCUGGGUUUAGAACGUCGUGAGACAGUUCGGUCCCUAUCUGCCGUGGGCGCUGGAGAACUGAGGGGGGCUGCUCCUAGUACGAGAGGACCGGAGUGGACGCAUCACUGGUGUUCGGGUUGUCAUGCCAAUGGCACUGCCCGGUAGCUAAAUGCGGAAGAGAUAAGUGCUGAAAGCAUCUAAGCACGAAACUUGCCCCGAGAUGAGUUCUCCCUGACUCCUUGAGAGUCCUGAAGGAACGUUGAAGACGACGACGUUGAUAGGCCGGGUGUGUAAGCGCAGCGAUGCGUUGAGCUAACCGGUACUAAUGAACCGUGAGGCUUAACCUU